rnacentral:rRNA from 1 species
GACGAACCACACAAACGUUAUUCGGAAUUACUGGGCUUAAAGGGUGCGUAGGCGGCGCGGAAAGUUGGGUGUGAAAUCCCUCGGCUCAACCGAGGAACUGCGCCCAAAACUACCGUGCUUGAGGGAGAUAGAGGUGAGCGGAACUUAGGGUGGAGCGGUGAAAUGCGUUGAUAUCCUAAGGAACACCCGUGGCGAAAGCGGCUCACUGGGUCUCUUCUGACGCUGGGGCACGAAAGCUAGGGUAGCGAACGGG